GAAAUCACUUUUUAAAUUGCAUUCUUUUCAGAUGUAUACGUCUAAGAAAACAAAGGAAAAUAAAAGAAGUCAUUUCAAGGAGCGUGGCUUUGCCAUUUGACUACCACAAAAGGCCCGGCUACACUGAGCUGUAAGGACUAUCUUUCUUGAUACAAUUUAUUACAUGAUGUGAAACAUAAGGACCGAGAGCUCUUUGAUUUUACAUUUGUGGGCUGAGAAGAUUGAGGUUUUCAUAAGGGAAAGACGGAGGAAGGAGUUCUUGAUGGAGCUUCAUGGGAUAUAAGAGAGAGGGCAGACCGUCCCUUGAUAAAGUGAAUUUCCAGUGAAACAGGAAUGCAUGUUUCAUCCCAACGCCAAAGAACUAUGGAUUCCUCUGUGACUCUUCUAAUAAUAUCUUCUGUGCAAGAAUUGUUCUGAUAUGCAACAGUAAAAACAAAAGAGAAAUAGAGGCAGAAUUUAGAAAGACUUCUUUCCACUUUCGAAAAGACAACUGAACCAUGGGAGCUUGCUCUGAGGUCGGAUAAGAGAAAAAUGUCAGAGGAAGAACACUGUAUGGAAGAGAAGAAUUGCAGGUGUGGAACAUAUUUCACAUGCAAAGAAAUAUCGGGAAAAAAAAGUUGAAUCCAUUCUUUUACCUCUGUCUCGGGAAUGAAAAGUCAAUUUUUAAUUAUAUGGGUAAGGUUGACCAGGGGCCAACUUAUCAAAAAUGCCGAGUUCAGGGUUGGAGAUUAAAUAUAAAAAGAGGUUCAAUAUAUUACUAUUUGGAAGGAAUGAACAUCCAUAUGUAAGAAAGAGACUGGAACCUGUCUGCCUCCAGCCUGCCCUUGACCCUGAGGGGAACAGUGUUACGUAUGAUCUCUUGGGACAAUAAAUGAAUAGUGAGUGGAGAGCAUGAUCCAAGGUUUAUGCCAUAUAUUCUGAGGUGGUGAUCGAGUGUGGGAAAUCAUGGGGCUAUCACCAUCUGCUGACAUCAUCCUUUUUGGGGGCACAGAUUUGCUCAGGUCAUAUAACAUCCUUGGGAGCUGGGAUCCUGAGGGGUCGUUUUUGCCUUGUGAUAACAUAGACCCAAAACCCUGUGCCUGAUUCAUUCCUUUCCAACAUGUUUCUGAUUGCUAAACAUUUAUUA